rnacentral:rRNA from 1 species
UGAGGAAUAUUGGUCAAUGGACGAGAGUCUGAACCAGCCAAGUAGCGUGCAGGAUGACGGCCCUAUGGGUUGUAAACUGCUUUUGUUUGGGAAUAAUCGACAUUACGUGUAAUGUUUUGCAUGUACCAUUCGAAUAAGGACCGGCUAAUUCCGUGCCAGCAGCCGCGGUAAUACGGAAGGUCCGGGCGUUAUCCGGAUUUAUUGGGUUUAAAGGGAGCGUAGGCUGUCUAUUAAGCGUGUUGUGAAAUAUACCGGCUCAACCGGUGGCUUGCAGCGCGAACUGGUCGACUUGAGUAUGCAGGAAGUAGGCGGAAUUCAUGGUGUAGCGGUGAAAUGCUUAGAUAUCAUGACGAACUCCGAUUGCGCAGGCAGCUUACUGUAGCAUAACUGACGCUGAUGCUCGAAAGUGCGGGUAUCAAACAGG